rnacentral:rRNA from 1 species
AUUGAACGCUGGCGGCAUGCCUAACACAUGCAAGUCGAACGGAAACGAUGGGAGCUUGCUCCCAGGCGUCGAGUGGCGGACGGGUGAGUAAUACUUAGGAAUCUGCCCAUUAGUGGGGGACAACAUUCGGAAACGGAUGCUAAUACCGCAUACGCCCUACGGGGGAAAGCGGGGGAUCUUCGGACCUCGCGCUAAUGGAUGAGCCUAAGUCGGAUUAGCUUGUUGGUGAGGUAAUGGCUCACCAAGGCGACGAUCCGUAGCUGGUCUGAGAGGACGAUCAGCCACACUGGGACUGAGACACGGCCCAG